GCCAGCCCUGCCACUGCCCGGCCCACAGCGCGUCCCCGGCCACCCCCAGACUGGCAGGACUGGGGGAGGACAUGCAGAGCCUGGGAGCCUAGAUGUAAGGCUUCUCCAGUCAAAGCGCUUAUCACAUCAUGAGAGCGUGGUCUCUGGGGCACACACACACAACUCAUACAUGAGACUGGAUCUCAGCACCUAGGUGUGCAGUAAGAGCUUGCUGUGUGAAUGAGUGCUGGGUGCGAAGAGUGAAAUUAGCAACAGCCUCCGGAAGGAGUUGGGCAUUGUCACGAAGGUUCUGCCUUUGAUUAGAUCUAUCGGCAGGUUUUUGGCUGAGAAUUCACAGACCUGUGGAUCAGGUUAACAUGUGAAGGGUUAAUGCUGACUCCUCUGACCUGCUUAGUCCCAAGGAGCCACGUAUUCUAAGUUGCCAGACAUGAAGACUGGCAGGUGAAAAGGUGCCUCGUGGGCCCACCAACCCCAGCUCUCAGUGAACACACCAGGAGUGAUUCCUCAGACUUUCCUUGGUCUUUCUCCUCUUUUCUGCAAGAAGCUUCCAACAAGGAGAGGAAAGGAAUGCUCUUUCCUGCCGGUGCACUCACUCUGCUGUAUAGGGGAACAGAGCCUGCCCUAGCCCCCAGCCAGCUGGGAGCCAGGCUGCCAAGGAAGACCCUGCCCAGGAGAUGCAAGGAGGAAACAGAUCAAUCCAUCCACCGGGAUUUGGGUCAGACUUGCCUGAAAGGCAGACCCUGCUCCCAGGAUCAAACCACCAAGGAGGAGACCAGGAUGCCUUCCUCUAGGGAUGGUGAUGCAUACACAGCACGUUCAGGAGCAUCUCUCAGGAACCCCAGGCUGGAGCGAAUGCUUUGUAGCAGUAUGUUCCCACCAACGUGAAGGGACCGACAUCCUUGAUGAUUGUUACCUGUGAUGGGACUGCCCAAUGCCUCCGGACAAGAAAGGUUCA